UCAAUCAUAAUAUGAAAUAACAGUGAUGAAGAGAUUUAAUUUU
rnacentral:guide_RNA from 1 species